AUCGAACGCUGGCGGCAGGCCUAACACAUGCAAGUCGAGCGAGCGGCGGACGGGUGAGUAAUGUGUGGGAAACUGCCCGAUAGAGGGGGAUAACUACUCGAAACGGUCGCUAAUACGGCAUACCAUCAGAUGUGCCCAGAUGGGAUUAGCUAGUAGGUGGGGUAACGGCUCACCUAGGCGACGAUCCCCAGCUGGUCUGAGAGGAUGACCCGCCACACUGGAACUGAGACACGGUCAAGACUCCUACGGGAGGCAGCAGUGGGGAAUAUUGCACAAUGGGCGCAAGCCUGAUGCAGCCAGGCCGCGUGUGUGAAGAAGGCCUUCGGGUUGUAAAGCACUUUCAGCGGGGAGGCGUUACCCGCAGAAGAAGCACCGGCUAACUCCGUGCCAGCCGCCGCGGUAAUAC
rnacentral:rRNA from 1 species